UGGGUGCCUGCUUCCCCCUCUUCCCGGAGCGGCAGUUUUAUGGGGACUCUGUGACCCAGGCCUGCCUCUCCGGAAGUCCACCUCCUCGUGCAGUCCUUGAACAGGCAACAGGACCGCGUGCCACCGCAGCGGCUCGCCGGGUAGCACUUGAAUCUCUGACUCUGUCAAAACGGGGUUCAGGAAGGUAACCAUCCAGCACGGUGAAGAAUUCUGCACUGAUUUGAUUUAAUCAGCCUGCCGUGCUCAUGCUAGAACUUUGAAGAAGAGAGGAAGGGUUGGCCUGGGUGAACAGAUAGAAUCGAAGGCCACGUUCACGCUGGACUUGAAGUCGAUGACUUGAGCUCGAGUGUCUGCUGUGCCACCAAGCAGCUGUGGGACCUUCCUCAGCCCCUCUCGUCUCUGGGCUUCUUCCUCAAGGGAAGGGGUUUGACCCCAGUUGGCACUAUGGCUUCUUCUAGCAUUAACCCUAUGGCUUGUGUUUGUGGAGGCCUUGGGUUACAGACUAACCUGUUUCUGUUCUUGUAGGGAAGAGUAUAGAGCCUACAACAGAUAUGUAAUGUGACCAUGUCUGAGUCUAUGGUUACUUGUUAAGUAGCCUCUGUUCAGGUACAUACUGAGCACCCACUAUAUACCAGUCCCCAACUAGGCACUGUUAGGGAAACAAAGGAAUGCCCCAUUUCCUGCUGUGGAAAGGAGGACUCCUCAGAGGAAGGAAGACAAGGACUAAAAAGAUACUACAAAGUCAAGUGCCGUGGGUCCAAGGGAGGCAGGGUCCCCUAUGAAGUGCAGUUGUCAGGAAGACAAAGAUGCAGGAGGGGACAGUGACUCUCAGACUCUGAGGCAGCCCAGCAGUGUGACCAGCUCAGUGAGGUACACAGUUGCAUAACUAGCGAUGAACUGAUUGGCAGAAGGGAAUGGAGGGGGCUGUGAACAAAUUUCAAUUUUCAAACAUU